UACAGCCAUAUCACGUUGAAACACGGGUCCCGUACGAUCACCGAAGUUAAGCGAUGUCGAGCCUGGCCAAUACCUAGAUGAGUGACCGCUUGGGAAUACUU